AGGAGGGUCCGGAAGAGGAGGGGAAGGAGGAGGGAGCGACAGGGAGGACUGGAGCCAACAGUGGUGAUCCACGGGGGGACACCGGUCCCCCUGCCUCUCCUGAGGUUGCGUGGAAAUGCUGGGUGAUUGGGGUGCCCAGAGAGAGCACGGAAGCUCCACACCCUCCCCACAUACCUUGUCCUUUGUGUCUCUCCAUCUGGCUGUUCAUCUGUAUCCUUUAAAAACCGGUAAAUGACACCUUCUCGUCCCUUCCCCGCACCAGCCCAGACUUCUACUCCGAGAAGACUUUGAUCCUCUUGGAGGAUCAGAAAGAGGGCAUUUGUUAAGUCGCGACACACCCGCCAGCAUUUUGGUGGCUACACAAUCAAAAGCCUGAGGAAUCAAAAAAAUCUCUCCUAACAUUCUAAAUGAUCCCUUUCCAACUUCAAGCAACUCUCAGGAGGGAACGAAGCCUCCGCAACUCCUGCAAGCUCCCUCACUCCUCCAGAUUCAUCUGAUCAAACUAAGACCCCACCUCCCCAGAGAAACAAGCUCUGCUAGGACAUUUUAUCAGCCAGUCUGCCCCUGUUAUUAGGGUCAAUUUGAGCACUAUUUGGUCUAUAUUUUAGCCAUGAAACUAUGACUACAGAAAGAGAAAGAUGAUUUUUGACAGUUUGGCCACAAUAUUCUUUAGACUCCGGAGAAAAUUGGUUAAAAUAAAACUUUUUUUGAAAUUGCAAAACCGGUUCUUUUUGCAUGUGCAAUGAGAAAAAGCUAGCUUGUUGAAAUACUUUUUUUUUCAGAAUCCUGACCCUGAGAGAACACAAAUAUGCCUAGGAGAAAGCUUGAAGUUAAUUGUUAACAUGUCCUUGAGAUACAAACACAGCCCACUUUGCCUGAGACUUCAGCUUUGGGUUAAUUAGUAGAACUUCAAGCGAGGGGAAAAAAAGGGGCAGAGACAUUUUAAGCCCCAAGCGGAAAACUAUGAGAUCUGUGUUUGUCUGGAUACAUGUGUAUAUCUCAGUAUGUGUCUUUGUCUUUGGAUAAUAUUGCUGAGGUUAAUUUGUAAAUGAGCUCUAUUUCAUUGGCUUAAAAGAAAAGUAAGCGCUUACAAAUCAAACAAUUCUAAAUACAAGAGAAAUUAAGCUAACCGAAUUCUAGGUUCUCGUGAACUGGGAAAUAUUCAGUAUUAAAUUAAUACCUGGUAUUAAUGUUUCUUGAUCAAAUUAAUAUAGACAUGUCUUUAGAGUCAUCAAGUAUAAUACUUUUAUUGUGCCUAGGUUUAAUAUAAACUAAAUAAGGUCCUAUUAUAUCUGUUGCAAAUUUGUCAGCAAUGAAAGUAACUUGAUGUGAAGAAAUUUUUAAGAAAAGAAAAUACAAAUGAGAUAAGAACUCUGGGGAAACUUUUUAGGAAUAAGUAUGUUUUAGGAAUGUCAACUUAAGAAUAAUCCUUCCAGAUGCUCGACAACUUGAAAAUUUAGAGUUGUGCUAAAUUAAGUUAAAUGAUGGAAGUUUAUUGAAUAACUAGGCCAUUUCCAAAUAAAAUACUGAAACAUCCCAAGGAGAGAUAUUAAACUAAUUAGGUUCAUUGGGUAUGUUAAAUUACAUGGGAAGUAUUGUCAAAUGAGUAAUAAAUCUUCUUAGGUUAUAUUGUAUGGUAAAUGUUACUAAUAUAGAUACUCUAGAAAUUAUAUGGGAUUCCUAAAGUUCUGAUAUGUCCUGGUAAAAUGUUAUCGGUCAUAAAUCCAGUUAUUAUCUUAAGGUGUUGUAUGUCACAGCAGUAGCCAAGUUAUUUUGUCAAAUUACAUUACAUUGGGCUUCCCUGGUGGCGCAGUGGUUAAGAAACCGCCUGCCAAUGCAGGGGACACGGGUUCGAGCCCUGGUCCGGGAAGAUCCCACAUGCCGCGGAGCAACUAAGCCCAUGAGCCACAACUACUGAGCCUGCGCGUCUGGAGCCUGUGCUCCGCAACGAGAGAGGCCGCAGCAGGGAGAGGCCCGCGCACCGCGAUGAAGAGUGGCCCCCGCUUGCCACAACUGGAGAAAGCCCUCGUACAGAAACGAAGACCCAACACAACCAAAAAUAAAUUAAAAAAAAAAAAAGUUCGUUCAGAAAAAGAAAAAAAAAAAAAAAGAGUAGCCCCUGCUCGCUGCAACUAGAGAAAGCCCGCGUGCAGCAACAAAGACCCAAUGCAGCCAAAAAUAAAUAAAUAAAAUAAAUAAAUUUAUUAAAAAAAAAAAAAAUUACAUUACAUUGGAAUCAGAUUUUAAAUGUGCCUUAAGUCUUUUAUCAUUAUAGACAGUUAUGGUUUUAUUCUGAUGCCUUUGCAAAAAUGCUUCCUCUUCAAGAAGAUUUAUAGAAAGGACUUUUAGAUAAAUACAAGUUUCUGACUUGUACUGAACUGGGUAAGAAAUUGAAGAAUUCUAGAAAAAACCUGAUGGCUUCAUAAAAAGUUAACAAAAGGACUAAAUGAACUGGUGAAUAUGGUCAUAAUUUUAUGGUUUCUAUCUGAAAAAUUACUGGUUUGAAUCUAUGUUUUCCAUGUGUGAGGAAAACCUUCCCAUCAAGCAAAUUAUGGCUUACAGUAAUUUGGUAAAUUAUACUUUUGUAAGCGGAAUUGAAACAUUUAUCUUUUCUCUCUGCCUGCUCCCUCCAGAGAUUGGAAACUCUUAGGUUCCCAACAGCUUUAUCAGAUAAAUUAGGAAGGCUACAUCACUAACAGGUACAGAAAUCUCAAGUUAUUUUGGGGACCUUGAAAAGGAAGGAAUUCACCUAGAUCUGGUAAGCGAAAUCUGUGACAAGCCCUUGGUGUGACUUUCCUAGUCCUGAGAGGUCUUUUAAAAGUUCAGUCUGAGACUCCUUAUAAAAAUUUCAGUGAGCAAAAAGUCUAUAUGAUCAAUUACAAUUAUAUAAACCAUUAGGCCAUGUUUAUUGAGACUAGACUGAAAUUUGGUUCUCUCUCUCUGUUAAGAGGACAAAAUUUUCUUGGAAUGCUGCUUUUAAUAACAGACUAUGUAAAUUUCUUUGCCUUUAAGUGAUUUGUAUUUGCUUUUAAAAUCGUUUGUUACUUUGGUAAAGUAAAUAAGUAUUAUUUCACAAUGAUCUAUGAAGAUUUUGGCACACAUAGAUAAAGUUCAUCCUGCAUCUACAAAAAUUAACCCCUCAUUGUCAGACUUUUGCUAUCCUGAUGUCUUUGUAACAUGGCAAUGGUCUACUCCUAAGUCAGAGAAUUUAAAAUGACUUAAAAAUAGCUGUAAAUCAAACAAUCAGGGCUAUGGAAAAUCCAAGACAGCUGCUUGGCUUUUUCCAGCUCCAUGACAAACCUCAUUUUUAUGUGAUGGGUUAAAGCCUUCCCUGGCUGCAGAGUUAAUGCCCUCACAAUGGAAACAAAAGAAUUAUGCUUCACUGAAUAUUAAAUUCUAGUUUUGUUAAUUAACGUCUGUGUUUACCAAGACUCACUUUCUGAUAGUUCCUUGCUGUUAUGUUAUACUGCUAAAAAGUUUAACAGAAUUAUUAAAGGACACUCUAAGUUUGUUUCUACAGCUUAUCUCUGUAAUCUAUUUUUGGAUGAAGAUCAGAUGCCCCACGACCUAUAAUCAGGGGAUUAUGCGUAUUGGAAAAGACAUAAUUUAAAGGACUAUCUCCAACCUGGAUGGAAAGACCCUUAUCAGGUAGUUUUAACUAGCUCAUUCACAGUGUAACUAAAGGGAAUUAACGCUUGGAUUAAUUUUCACUCACAAAGUGCCCCUGUACUGGACUGGCCUUUGGAGAGGAUGCCUGAUCUCAAAAUCACCUUAAAACGAUGCUCAAACGAGGAAACUAUACUCACACCAGGAUGAAAAGAAGAUGACAAUCAGAAGUAGACAGCUUGCCCAAGAUCCCCGACCUGACUCGUAUGAUCAUUUAUAAUGUUUUCUUGACUUCUUGGACCUUUGCAUAUGAAUCAGAUGUUUUUCUAUCAUAGGCAUGAUGCUAUGCUAAUUUUGAAAUCAAUCCAAUUGUUGGGUUUGUGGCCAAUUACCUGUGUCUAGUAUUUCUGGUUUACCUGAGUGAAUUUCUCCACUCCAAGGCUCUAAUUGGUUGACUCUUAGGAAAUUUAUUUAAAGAAAAAUUAUAGUCAUGUUCAGGCCACUAUUGAUAUUACUAGAUAAGAUCCCCUCACCUGGCCAAUUUAUAAUACCUGUUCUGACCUUGGCCAUAAAGAUAAAUUUUCCUCUAUUACUCAAGUACAAUCAGAGCAACAAGCAAAAUUUCAGCCAAGAAAUAAAACCUCCGACAAUUAUGGGAUGGAUUUAUGUAGUUAACACCAGGCUAUGGUAAUUUAAGUUUAAAGUCUCCUCUAUGCUGGGAACAAUUAAAUCAUACUAAGGAUAGUCAGUCUAGUAACACUAGAAAGCUGGACUGGGUGCCUUGUGGACAAUGCCAAUAUAUAAUUUCCCUAAAAUAUAAGGAUUGGUACAGAACAGACUAAGUCAGGCGACCUGGGAUAUACUGGGUCACACCUAAUGAAAGUUCUUGACUUAAAUUCUUACUUAUUACCUUACUAAUCUGCUAGCUAUAUUUUUUAUAUUGCCUGUUUUACAAAAUUGUUGUCUCUUACAUUACCAAGUGUGUGACUGAGCCUCUGAUAAAACGAUGAUAUAUAGUUCCAUAUGAGAUCAAUGAUUGAAAUAGUGUAACUCUAGAUAUGGGAAGAAGCGACAAGAGGGAAUAUUUUCCUGGACCGUAAGAGACUAGGAAGACAGGUGGUCCAGAGACUUUUGGAUGCUAGUAAAGGCCUAGUCCCGUAAUAGCACAUCGAGUGGCCUAUCAGAAAAAUCUUCGCUAGACCUGGGAAUGAGCGUUCCUAGCACCAUGGGAUGAAAUGGUCAUGAAAUGCUGCCCCAAAACCAUGGUCAAAUUUAUGACCAUGAAGGGGCCCUGCUGACUAGAAAUUAGCACUUGCCAUCUACCUCUACAAAGAUUAAAUCAUGGCCACUGCAGCUGGUGACCUUCAAUACCCCCGAAAGCAGUUCAGGGUGGAGAUCAGGAAUGAGGCCCUCUGUGUUCUGGGAAAAACUGGCAGAACAGGCCUUCAGAUAGAUAUUUUCAGAAAAAGAUUUUCAUGAGCCCAAAUUCUUGCAUCUUCUCAUACCUAGAAAAACACUAAAGUUGUUAACGGUGACAGCUGCUUUGGUUUAUAUGUUAAUACCACAUCAAAGGUUAAAACCUACUUGGAUAAACCUAGACAACUGGCUACCUGGCUACAAUUCUCGAAGUGUCAGGUCUAGAUUAGGAUUCAGGGUUAUUCUCCUGAAAGAAAUAAGAUCUAUUUUGUCUAUUAAUGUUCAGGUUGUCACUCCUCCAAUUACUUCUGAGUCUGUUACACUGACAUCAGUCACACUGGGCUAAUAAAAAGGACAUCAAAGGGGCUUCCCUGGUGGUGCAGUGGUUGAGAAUCUGCCUGCCAAUGCAGGGGACACGGGUUCGAGCCCUGGUCUGGGAGGAUCCCACAUGCCACGGAGCAACUAGGCCCAUGAGCCACAAUUACUGAGCCUGCGCGUCUGGAGCCUGUGCUCCGCAACAAGAGAGGCCGCAAUAGUGAGAGGCCCGUGCACCGCAAUGAAGAGUGGCCCCUGCUUGCUGCAACUAGAGAAAGCCCUCGCACAGAAACGAAGACCCAACACAGCCAUAAAUAAAUAAAUAAAUAAAAUUUAAAAAAAAAGGACAUCAAAAAUAUAUAUGACCACACCAAAUGGCUUCAUUCCUCUGGACAGGAUAACCCAAGAACUGACUCUAUCUGGACCACAAUCAAAAUUGUUAUCAAACGUAACUUGGCUCUUACUCCUGCUUUGGCCCCUGGUUAAAAUAAUUCUUUUACUGAU